rnacentral:misc_RNA from 1 species
GUGCCGACGCUAACGCAUUAAGCACCCCGCCUGGGGAGUACGGCCGCAAGGCUAAAACUCAAAGGAAUUGACGGGGACCCGCACAAGCGGCGGAGCAUGUGGCUUAAUUCGAUGCAACGCGAAGAACCUUACCUGGGCUUGACAUGCAGGGUAGAGCGGGUGAAAGCCCGUGUCCUUCGGGGCCCUGCACAGGUGCUGCAUGGCUGUCGUCAGCUCGUGCCGUGAGGUGUUGGGUUAAGUCCCGCAACGAGCGUAACCCCUGUCUUCAGUUGCCAUCGGGUCAUGCCGAGCACUCUGGAGAGACUGCCCAGGAUAACGGGGAGGAAGGUGGGGAUGACGUCAGGAAUGUCGAUA